rnacentral:rRNA from 1 species
AUUGAACGCUGGCGGCAGGCUUAACACAUGCAAGUCGAACGAGUGGCGGACGGGUGAGUAAUGCUUGGGAAUCUAGCUUAUGGAGGGGGAUAACUACGGGAAACUGUAGCUAAUACCGCGUACCAUAGGAUGAGCCCAAUUGGGAUUAGGUAGUUGGUGAGGUAAAGGCUCACCAAGCCGACGAUCUCUAGCUGGUCUGAGAGGAUGACCAGCCACACUGGGACUGAGACACGGCACAGACUCCUACGGGAGGCAGCAGUGGGGAAUAUUGCGCAAGGGGGGCAACCCUGACGCAGCCAUGCCGCGUGAAUGAAGAAGGCCUUAGGGUUGUAAAGUACUUUCAGCGGGGAGGCGGUAACCGAAGAAGAAGCACCGGCUAACUCCGUGCCAGUAGCCGCGGUAAUAG